GUGAAUCAUCGAAUCUUUGAACGCAAAUUGCACUCUCUGGUAUUCCGGAGAGUAUGCCUGUUUGAGGGUCAGUUUAAAUAAAAAUCGGUGUGGUUGCUGCCUUUCGUGUUACGCCCCGGGAGUGGGGCGUCUUUCCUUUGGGUAAGUGACCUUAAAUUUUUCAUGAUUUUUUUGGACGGAUUUAAAUGAUUUUACGGACGGUUGCGAUA
rnacentral:misc_RNA from 1 species